ACCGGAAGGCGGCCUCCGCCUCUAAUGCCGUGAGGCUUGGGCGUUUCCUAUCCUUCCUUGGCUCCGAGCUUCGGCAGUGGAAAUGCAUUGGGGGAUGUUUGGGGGAAGGACUGCUUCAGGGAAGCAAAACUAAUGCUUUCUGGAGGCAGCUGGGGACCGAGUUCUGCCUGAUGUCAUUGCUCCGCUGACGUUAUUUGAAUGUUUCACCCACGUGCUAUAUAAAGCUGCAGCCCGGUCACCGCCGAGCGCGGGCUUGGCAAGUGACAGGUCCUGGUAGAGGUGGAGUGGCCACGGCGGCCACGGGCCAGUGUGGCAUCCAGAGGGCAGCUGGCCCACGUGGAGCGGGGACUGCAGGGGACGCAUCGUGUGUCACGGGCCACCGGCCUGAGAACUGGUCCCUGACCCUAGAUGUGACCCCACAAGCCUGAGAACAUUGAAAUAUUUGUUGAAAGCGCAGGCCCACCGAGGCCCGUCCUUAGCAUCACCCGAGGGGCCCUUGCCUCCCAGGGAGGCGCUUUGAUUUUUUUUGGCAGGCGUGGUCCAGUCUGCACCCUGCUGGAGGCUAGGGCCGUGCAGCCUGGGGGUCUCCCGGGGUCCCUGUGUCUGACUGACCACAGCUACAGUGGGCUGCCGGCUCCCUCCGGGGCAGAGAAAAUACCACCAGAAGCCAUGCACUAGGACCGACCCCUCCGGCAGCUCUGCACCAGGCUCUGGGCGUCGCUUUCGGAAAUCCAAAGACAAAGCCCUGAAGCCUUGCUGUCUACGGGGGCAGCCACCGGCACAUGUGGCCAGCCCACACCCGCGUGGCCGGUCUGAAUUGACGUGUGGCAACCAGAACACAUAAAAUGAUGGGUGUGGCCCCAGUCCCUUUGGACAGCCCUGCUCUGGAAGCCCCGGAAGCCGGCGCCCACACCACGGGCGCUUCUCCUGCGCCUCCGCCAGCUCGGCAUUCGCCUCCUCCAGGGCCUGCCUCUUGGGGGCCACGUCACAAUACACCUCGUAGAAGCGCACGAUGUUAAUGCACCAGGAGCACAGGCCCGCGGCAGCUGUGGACUUGGAGCGGAUGAACUCGGGGUCGAAGGUCGGGUUGCCUUGGUAGGGCCUGGAGGGGGAGCAGGUGUGGGCUCUGUAGGCCUCAGGCCUCCCCUGCGUCUGUCCCUCCGGCCCUCAGCUGGCCGCUGACCACGGAGCACAGGCAGUUACCGGGGAGCACGGUGAAUCGGUUUUUUUUUUUGGGGGGGGCGUGGUGGGGAAGGGUCUUCAAGAAGAAGAAAAAAAGUGAAACACUGAAGUCUGGCCCCAGAAGUGGUUUGGGGUAUGAGGGGGCACAGAGGCACUUUAGACCCUUCUGGAAACCAGUAUUUUAAGAAGCGACAGCGACGUCGUUAAGCGUAACAGACUGAACUCCCUGCAGAAAGACUCUCGAAUGGGUUAAUUCAAAAUAGAACCGACGAGCAAUUUGGACGUCGGCCGGGAGUACAGCCGGCCAUCCCCGCUCUCAGUUUACUUCGUGUUUCCUCUAGGUUGACGUUGCGACAGGUUUACGUGUUUAGACACCCGUCGGGGGCCGUGGCCGUCGGGGAGCUGGCAGAACGGAGAUGGCUUGAAUCUUCCGCGGUUUGGGACCAGUUAGGGAAAUUACACUCUGCCUGCCGCCAAGGCCGUCCGGCGGUUAGAGGAGAGCCCGAUGAACCGGCAAGAAAACGUGUUCUCCGGUCAGCACCAGGAGCCCCGCGAUCUCUGCGCACACACAGGCGUCUCGACCGUGAGGGAACCGGCGCCAGCGAGGAGGCUGAGCGCGUGUCCACCUCCCGGUGGUGGAGGCCCCUUGGCGGCAUUUGGUUUGCUCCCCCCGCCCGCCCCUCAGCAACACGGCCAGCCCGCCGGGUCUGCCUCUCCAGGUGUGGCGCAUUUACGGUGACAACAGCGGGAAGCAGAAAGCACGCACGACGGGGCCCGAGUCAGCGGAUGCACACGGCACGCGUGUGUGUGUGCGUGCGUAUGUGUGUGUGUGCAACUGCUCUCGCCUCUAGGGGCCCUGGUGGCGUUUCUCGUGGUCCUGUGGGCUGUGUGACGGGUUGUUAGACCCUCCCAUGCGCUGUUGUGGAUUUUGAGCCACGGGCCUUUCCGCCUGCACUGACCCCUCCCAGUGGGGAAGGAAGAGGGUGCUGAGGUGCCCCAGGACCCGCGUGCGGCCACGUUUCCCCAGCCCGCCCCCCGCCAGCUCCGGGGGCCCACCUUGCUGCACACGGCCUGAGGCCCUGCCCCACCCCGGCCGGCACAGCCUUCCCCUGGGAACAGGUCUCUGGCCGGGGCGGGUGGGAGGGGACCCGGGGGACCCUGGCACCACUGUGCUGAGCUGGGCGGUGCGGCCGAGCCUGACUCACUUAAACGCCUUCAGGCAGGCCUCGGGGAUGUGCUCCUUGUCAAACUUCUUCAAGGAGUCCAGGAACGUGUCCACUUUGCCCAUCAUGAUUUUGGCCGCUUUCCAGCUCUUGUCCUUGGGGAUCUUGCCCCCCGGCGCGGUCAGGAUCAUGACGGCGGCCGUGACGUUGACCACGGCGUCCGGGGGUGACCCGAAGGACUUCAGCUCGGUCAGGUUGUUCUGAAAAUGACAGAUGGGGAGCACCUGAAAGGGGCCCGCAGGCCCCGGGACCACCCUGGGAAGCUUCCACAAGCCUGUGGCUGCUUGCACACACACACCACGGCUUUCUCCUCCACUCUGGCCGGUCUGUUUCUUGCUCCUUCCCUUCCCGCACCUUAUUCAGCGUGUCGAGAGCUUCCUGCGCGGCCAGCAGGGCCGGCUCCGCCUUGGCCAGGUCCGUUUCACAUGCCUUUUGUUUCUCUGUGACAUUCUGGAAGGAAGCCACGCGGGAAAGAUCAGCGCAGGGAUUGGUGGGGGCUGCGUGUGAGAGUGUGUGUGUGGGUGUGUGUGUGUAGCCCUGGGCAGCAGCGAGAGCACGGACGGAAGUGAGGAGGGGGCUGUGCCCUGUGCUCCCCUUCAUGCCCGGGAGGUCACUGGUCACCGCCUGGAGCCCGCCUUUCUCCUCUCCGCCCCUCUGCCCCUGCCCCUCAACAGGUUGGAAUGAGCCAUGGGGGUGGCGGACUUGGGGUUCUGGAAUGGCCCCCGCUUCCGGGACUGACAGCGGUUAAUGUCUGGCACCCGCCCCUCUCCAGCCCCUGCAUCCAGAAACGGCCCCCGCGAGGGUGCUCCGGGGAGGAAGGCCCGGGUGCUAUCCCCGGGGCAGCCUGCCCAGCCAGCAACUUCCACGCCCGUUCCUGUGGUCGUGCCCCACAUUGUUCUUAAAGUCGGGGGCAGGAUGCACUCUCCACGGGGUGCCUUGCAGAGAGACCCUCUCCUUUCUGUCCUCGUCCUCUGCACCCAGAAAAGCCCCCAGCCCCUACUGGCUCCUUCCUGAUGGACACCACGCGGCUACUGGUCUCUGUGCUCGGCACCCAGAGACUCGGAGGGGUUCUUCCCGAUCCGAGGAGCGAACGCACAGGUGCGUGAACACGUUCUCACUUCCUUACGGGGAGGGCGAGCCAGACCUCCGAACUGUUCUAUUUUGGAGAAAUCACACACUGGCACUAAGAGACAGUAAGGCCUCAGAGCCAGUGGCGGGGCUCCUCGUGGCCCAGGUCUCUUGGGGUGAAGGCGCUGCCUGGGCGGGCUAACCCGGGGGCGCCACCCGGGGCUUCCUCCCCGGGGAGCACCCCUGACCCCGGGUUUGGAGAGCGGCGGGUGCCUGGACAUUAAGAGCCACACGUGGAUCAGACGGGCAGGUCACAGAGUUUGGGGUGUGGAUGUGGGUCCUGACUGCCACUCCCUAGUUUCAAGACCCCCGGGCACGUUGCUGACCACCCUGAGCCUCAGAGGGUCGUGGUUCUGCAGCUCCUGCCGCCCCGCCCGGCCCAGUGACCUCGGCACCUCUGGAGGGAGCUCCUGGCACAGGGUCUGAGGACCAGGGCCCCCAUCCAAGGGCGGGGCGCCUCUCAAACCUUAAUGUGCUCACAGGUCCCUGGCAUCUUGUUAAAAUGCAGACCUGAUUCAGCGGGGCUGGGCCGGGGCCCGAGAACCUGCAUCUCUUACCAGCUCCUGGAAAUGCCACCAAGGUGGCCUGGGGACGGACGGCAUGGCUCCAAGAGGAGGCGGCCCUCCUCUGAGCUGGGAGAGAUGCCCCCUCAGGGGGCUUCCUGCAGGUCUGGGAGCCCUCCCGGCCUUUGCCUGGGCCCACGGGAGAUACUGACCACUCAGGGGAGGCCUGGCCUGGCACAGCCAUGAGCCACAGCCCACGGAGGCCCCGCGUGUCUGCACACCUUGUUGAUGACCUCCACCUUGGCCUCCUCCUCGUCCGCAAUGGCUUUCUCUUUGCUGACCUUCUCGGUUUCCACACCCACCACCUGGAUCAGCUUGUCGGCAUUCUCGUUUUUCUGCUUGAGCUCAGCCUCCUGAAUCGCCAGCUUGGCUUUUAAGUCAUCCACCUCGGGGAGGAGACGCCAAGAGACGGUAUUAAAACCCCCGCGUCCUUUCUGGCGUGAGAACGGACGUUUCUCUAAGGCCGGAAUCCCGUUCCUCCGACUCGGGGGAAGGUUCUUCCUUACCUGGGACGCUGUGCUCUGCAGUUUCAUCAGGCCGUUCUCCAGCCUCUCGAUCUUGGCCACCAGCUCCAUUCUCUUCCUGGCUAGCAGGUUCUGGUACAGUUUGAUCUGCUCCAGGAAGGUUUUGGGGGUGGUGUAGUUGUAACGCCUCUCGGUGGCCAGGUACAGCCUGGACAUCUCGUUGACCGUUGUGUGCACGUAGGCUAUGAAGAGACUGAUGGAAGCCUUGACAUCUCCCUGCAAAGGCAAGAUGGGCCGUUGGUUCCCUGUCCCCUGGCGGGAGCGACCCCACUCCGGUGGGGGCCCUGGAGGAGCCCCGGGAGGAGCGGGGGCCGUCAAGACAGCAAUGCCUGUGCAGGCCGUCGUGGGCGCUUGGUGACAUUGUACCACCGAGGGUCUGGCUCAGUGCCAGGGACGCAGCAUGGCUUGACUCCCGUGAUCACCUCCACGCCCGCCCAUACCUGGGAGAGCGCAGGGCCCGACGGUAUGUUUGAGUGACCUGGGCCAUCCAGUAGGCAUUUAUUGUGCGAAGGGUCCUACGCUGGGUCCUGCUUCCCACGGCAGGGUCACAGCCACCACCGUCUGGGUCCACCCCAUCUGCCUGGGCGCCUGGUCCCAGGAAUGGUCCAAGCCAUACCAGCCGUGAUUCAAGGUAAUUUGGAAACGUGUUCCCCCUCGCACCUGCUGCUUCAGCCAUCUGCCCUGUGGCCCUCGCUGGUGCCAGCCGUGGGGGCCUUUCCCCCAUCUUGGGGGAGGGCUGGAAACCCCACAUCUGUGCCCCGAGCAACGUGUGGGAAGGGCCCAUCCCAGAGUAGGUGCUCCAGCAAUGACCAGCAGGAGAUUUUACCCACCUUUCCCACCAGGCCCACGGUUAAUUUCAGGUUCAGUACUUAGUAACUGAAUACGUGUCCAAAAUAAAGCAAAACAUGAUAA